UACAGAGAUCUCAAGCGUUGUUCGGAUUCAUUGGGCGUAAAGGGUGCGUAGGCGGCGCGGUAAGUCGGGUGUGAAAUCUUGGAGCUUAACUCCGAAACUGCAUUCGAUACUGCCGUGCUUGAGGACUGGAGAGGAGACUGGAAUUUACGGUGUAGCGGUGAAAUGCGUAGAUAUCGUAAGGAAGACCAGUGGCGAAGGCGGGUCUCUGGACAGUUCCUGACGCUGAGGCACGAAGGCCAGGGGAGCAAACGGG
rnacentral:rRNA from 1 species